rnacentral:rRNA from 1 species
UACGGGGAGGCAGCAGUGGGGAAUAUUGCACAAUGGGGGAAACCCUGAUGCAGCCAUGCCGCGUGUGUGAAGAAGGCCUCGGGUUGUAAAGCACUUUCAGUAGGGAGGAAGGUAGUGUAGUUAACACCUGCAUUAUUUGACGUUACCUACAGAAGAAGCACCGGCUAACUCCGUGCCAGCAGCCGCGGUAAUACGGAGGGUGCGAGCGUUAAUCGGAAUUACUGGGCGUAAAGCGCAUGCAGGCGGCCUGUUAAGUCAGAUGUGAAAGCCCGGGGCUUAACCUCGGAAUUGCAUUUGAAACUGGCAGGCUAGAGUCUUGUAGAGGGGGGUAGGAAUUUCAGGUGUAGCGGUGAAAUGCGUAGAGAUCUGAAGGAAUACCAGUGGCGAAGGCGGCCCCCUGGACAAAGACUGACGCUCAGAUGCGAAAGCGUGGGGAGCAAACAGGAUUAGAUACCCUGGUAG